rnacentral:rRNA from 1 species
AAUGAACGUUGGCGGCAUGGAUUAGGCAUGCAAGUCGAGCGCGGAGAGUCAUUUGCUUGCAUUUGACUCUGAAAGCGGCGUAAGGGUGAGUAACGCGUAGUUACCUACCUCCGGGUCCGGAAUAGCUGCGGGAAACUGCAGGUAAUGCCGGAUAAUAUCUCAGGAUCAAAGGUGAGAUUCCGCCCGGAGAGGGGACUGCGUCCUACUAGCUUGUUGGUGGGGUAAUGGCCUACCAAGGCUUCGAUGGGUAGCGGGCGUGAGAGCGUGGCCCGUCACACUUGGACUGAGACACUGCCCAGACACCUACGGGUGGCUGCAGUCGAGAAUCUUCGGCAAUGGGCGAAAGCCUGACCGAGCAAUGCCGCGUGCGGGAUGAAGGCCCUCGGGUUGUAAACCGCGAAAGUAAGGAGGAAGGACCUGCGAAGAGCAGGUUUUGACCGAUCUACAGUAAGGACGGGCUAAGUUCGUGCCAGCAGCCGCGGUAA